rnacentral:rRNA from 1 species
CCAAGGAUUACAAUAAAAAAGUCCGCGACUCUGUCCACUGAUUAGUUUAUUUAAAUUUAAAGGCUGCAGUUAUCUGUACAAAGGUAGCGCAAUAAGUAGCCCCUUAAUUGGGGGAUGGUAUGAAUGGUUUGACGUGGAGAUGCUGUUUCUAGUGUAGUUUAAAUGAAAUUUCUUUCUAGGUGAAAAAGCCUAGGUUUUUGUAAGAGAUGAGAAGACCCUAUCGAACUUGAUUAUGUAGAAGCAAUUAAAAUAGGUUUUUGACUUAUUAAAUUUUCUUAGUUUGAAGUUUUACUGGGGCAGUAAAGGGUUAUGCAAUACCUUUUUUAAUAAAAUAAAGAGCCUUUUAGAUGGAAAAAAGCAAAAGUUACCGUAGGGAUAACAGCGUAAUUUUAUCCCCUAAAGAUCUUAUUAAGGGGAGAGUGUGCGACCUCGAUGUUGAAUUAAAGGGGCUUUUUGGUUGGAGAUGCUAAAAAGGCGAAACUGUUCGUUUUUUAAUCCUUUACAUGAUCUGAUUCCAGACCGGA